rnacentral:rRNA from 1 species
AUUGAACGCUGGCGGCAGGCCUAACACAUGCAAGUCGAACGAGUGGCGGACGGGUGAGUAAUGUCUGGGAAACUGCCCGAUGGAGGGGGAUAACUACUGGAAACGGUAGCUAAUACCGCAUACCAUCGGAUGUGCCCAGAUGGGAUUAGCUUGUAGGUGAGGUAACGGCUCACCUAGGCGACGAUCCCUAGCUGGUCUGAGAGGAUGACGAGCCACACUGGAACUGAGAAACGGUCGUGACUCCUACGGGAGGCAGGAGUGGGGAAUAUGGCACAAUGGGUGAAAGCCUGAUGCAGCCAUGCCGCGGGUAUGAAGAAGGCCUUCGGGUUGUAAAGUAAUGUCAGCGGGGAGGCGUUACCCGCAGAAGAAGCACCGGCUAACUCCGUGCCAGCAGCCGCGGUAAUAC